GGGUUGUGAGGUUAAGCGACUAAGCGUACACGGUGGAUGCCCUGGCAGUCAGAGGCGAUGAAGGGCGUGCUAAUCUGCGAUAAGCGCCGGUAAGGUGAUAUGAACCGUUAUAACCGGCGAUACCCGAAUGGGGAAACCCAGUGUGACUCGUCACACUAUCAUUAACUGAAUCCAUAGGUUAAUGAGGCGAACCGGGGGAACUGAAACAUCUAAGUACCCCGAGGAAAAGAAAUCAACCGAGAUUCCCCCAGUAGCGGCGAGCGAACGGGGAGGAGCCCAGAGCCUGAAUCAGCAUGUGUGUUAGUGGAAGCGUCUGGAAAGGCGCGCGAUACAGGGUGACAGCCCCGUACACAAAAGCGCAUGUGCUGUGAGCUCGAUGAGUAGGGCGGGACACGUGAUAUCCUGUCUGAAUAUGGGGGGACCAUCCUCCAAGGCUAAAUACUCCUGACUGACCGAUAGUGAACCAGUACCGUGAGGGAAAGGCGAAAAGAACCCCGGCGAGGGGAGUGAAAAAGAACCUGAAACCGUGUACGUACAAGCAGUGGGAGCCCCACCACUAAGCCAGUGGUGAACUCCACAUACGCAUCCUUUGCUGAGGAUACGGUUAACGGAGCGAAAGCGACGUUCAACCUCAAAAGAAGCAGAGGGGGCUUAGUGGUGGGGUGACUGCGUACCUUUUGUAUAAUGGGUCAGCGACUUAUAUUCUGUAGCAAGGUUAACCGAAUAGGGGAGCCGCAGGGAAACCGAGUCUUAACCGGGCGUUAAGUUGCAGGGUAUAGACCCGAAACCCGGUGAUCUAGCCAUGGGCAGGUUGAAGGUUGGGUAACACUAACUGGAGGACCGAACCGACUAAUGUUGAAAAAUUAGCGGAUGACCUGUGGCUGGGGGUGAAAGGCCAAUCAAACCGGGAGAUAGCUGGUUCUCCCCGAAAGCUAUUUAGGUAGCGCCUCGUGAAUUCAUCUCCGGGGGUAGAGCACUGUUUCGGCUAGGGGGCCAUCCCGGCUUACCAACCCGAUGCAAACUGCGAAUACCGGAGAAUGUUAUCACGGGAGACACACGGCGGGUGCUAACGUCCGUCGUGAAGAGGGAAACAACCCAGACCGCCAGCUAAGGUCCCAAAGUCAUGGUUAAGUGGGAAACGAUGUGGGAAGGCCCAGACAGCCAGGAUGUUGGCUUAGAAGCAGCCAUCAUUUAAAGAAAGCGUAAUAGCUCACUGGUCGAGUCGGCCUGCGCGGAAGAUGUAACGGGGCUAAACCAUGCACCGAAGCUGCGGCAGCGACACUAUGUGUUGUUGGGUAGGGGAGCGUUCUGUAAGCCUGUGAAGGUGUGUCGUGAGGCAUGCUGGAGGUAUCAGAAGUGCGAAUGCUGACAUAAGUAACGAUAAAGCGGGUGAAAAGCCCGCUCGCCGGAAGACCAAGGGUUCCUGUCCAACGUUAAUCGGGGCAGGGUGAGUCGACCCCUAAGGCGAGGCCGAAAGGCGUAGUCGAUGGGAAACGGGUUAAUAUUCCCGUACUUGGUGUUACUGCGAAGGGGGGACGGAGAAGGCUAUGUUGGCCGGGCGACGGUUGUCCCGGUUUAAGCGUGUAGGUGUGUGUUCCAGGUAAAUCCGGUUCACUUUAACACUGAGGCGUGACGACGAGGCACUACGGUGCUGAAGCAACAAAUGCCCUGCUUCCAGGAAAAGCCUCUAAGCAUCAGGUAACAUCAAAUCGUACCCCAAACCGACACAGGUGGUCAGGUAGAGAAUACCAAGGCGCUUGAGAGAACUCGGGUGAAGGAACUAGGCAAAAUGGUGCCGUAACUUCGGGAGAAGGCACGCUGACACGUAGGUGAAGUGAUUUACUCACGGAGCUGAAGUCAGUCGAAGAUACCAGCUGGCUGCAACUGUUUAUUAAAAACACAGCACUGUGCAAACACGAAAGUGGACGUAUACGGUGUGACGCCUGCCCGGUGCCGGAAGGUUAAUUGAUGGGGUCAGCGCAAGCGAAGCUCCUGAUCGAAGCCCCGGUAAACGGCGGCCGUAACUAUAACGGUCCUAAGGUAGCGAAAUUCCUUGUCGGGUAAGUUCCGACCUGCACGAAUGGCGUAAUGAUGGCCAGGCUGUCUCCACCCGAGACUCAGUGAAAUUGAACUCGCUGUGAAGAUGCAGUGUACCCGCGGCAAGACGGAAAGACCCCGUGAACCUUUACUAUAGCUUGACACUGAACAUUGAGCCUUGAUGUGUAGGAUAGGUGGGAGGCUUUGAAGCGUGGACGCCAGUCUGCGUGGAGCCGACCUUGAAAUACCACCCUUUAAUGUUUGAUGUUCUAACGUGGACCCGUUACCCGGGUUGCGGACAGUGUCUGGUGGGUAGUUUGACUGGGGCGGUCUCCUCCUAAAGAGUAACGGAGGAGCACGAAGGUUGGCUAAUCCUGGUCGGACAUCAGGAGGUUAGUGCAAUGGCAUAAGCCAGCUUGACUGUGAGCGUGACGGCGCGAGCAGGUGCGAAAGCAGGUCAUAGUGAUCCGGUGGUUCUGAAUGGAAGGGCCAUCGCUCAACGGAUAAAAGGUACUCCGGGGAUAACAGGCUGAUACCGCCCAAGAGUUCAUAUCGACGGCGGUGUUUGGCACCUCGAUGUCGGCUCAUCACAUCCUGGGGCUGAAGUAGGUCCCAAGGGUAUGGCUGUUCGCCAUUUAAAGUGGUACGCGAGCUGGGUUUAGAACGUCGUGAGACAGUUCGGUCCCUAUCUGCCGUGGGCGCUGGAGAACUGAGGGGGGCUGCUCCUAGUACGAGAGGACCGGAGUGGACGCAUCACUGGUGUUCGGGUUGUCAUGCCAAUGGCACUGCCCGGUAGCUAAAUGCGGAAGAGAUAAGUGCUGAAAGCAUCUAAGCACGAAACUUGCCCCGAGAUGAGUUCUCCCUGAGACUUUAAGUCUCCUGAAGGAACGUUGAAGACGACGACGUUGAUAGGCCGGGUGUGUAAGCGCAGCGAUGCGUUGAGCUAACCGGUACUAAUGAACCGUGAGGCUUAACCUUACAACGCCGAAG
rnacentral:rRNA from 1 species